rnacentral:rRNA from 1 species
CAGGCUCGCGUGACAUUAGCUUGACGGCGGGGUAACGGCCCACCGUGGCGACGAUGUCUAGGGGUUCUGAGAGGAAGGUCCCCCACACUGGAACUGAGACACGGUCCAGACUCCUACGGGAGGCAGCAGUGAGGAAUAUUGGUCAAUGGCCGGAAGGCUGAACCAGCCAUGCCGCGUGAAGGUCAGUGCCCUAUGGGCGUUAAACUUCUUUUGUGCGGGAGCAAUAAGGUCCACGUGUGGACCGACGAGAGUACCGUACGAAUAAGCAUCGGCUAACUCCGUGCCAGCAGCCGCGGUAAUACGGGGGAUGCAAGCGUUAUCCGGAUUUAUUGGGUUUAAAGGGUGCGUAGGCUGUGAGGUAAGUCAGCGGUGAAAUGCCCCCGCUCAACGGGGUGAAGUGCCAUUGAUACUGCCUUGCUGGAAUGCGGAUGCCGUGGGAGGAAUGUGUGGUGUAGCGGUGAAAUGCAUAGAUAUCACACAGAACACCGAUUGCGAAGGCAUCUCACGAAUCCGCUAUUGACGCUGAUGCACGAAAGCGUGGGUAUCAAACAGGAUUAGAUACCCUGGUAGUCCACGCUGUAAACGAUGAUGACUAACCGUCGGCGAUACACAGUCG